CCAGCUCCAAUAGCGUAUAUUUAAGUUGUUGCAGUUAAAAAGCUCGUAGUUGGAUUUCGGGCGGGGCUUACCGGUCCGCCUUACGGUGUGUACUGGUAGGGUCCGCCUUGCUGCCGGGGACGGGCUCCUGGGCUUCACUGUCCGGGACUCGGAGUCGGCGUGGUUACUUUGAGUAAAUUAGAGUGUUCAAAGCAGGCUUACGCUCUGAAUACAUUAGCAUGGAAUAACGCGAUAGGACUCUGGCCUAUCUUGUUGGUCUGUGGGACCGGAGUAAUGAUUAAGAGGGACAGUCGGGGGCAUUCGUAUUUCAUUGUCAGAGGUGAAAUUCUUGGAUUUAUGAAAGACGAACUACUGCGAAAGCAUUUGCCAAGGAUGUUUUCA
rnacentral:rRNA from 1 species